AAAGUGCGAUAUGUACUGCGCUGUGCGCGAAAUGCGCAGUCAUUCUUCGAAUACACAUUGUCCUGUCUGGCGAAUAGCCGGCAGGGCAUCUGCUUCAGGGUUGUUGAUUAGUUUAGCGCCGCUUUUGCCGGUGUUCUGGGGGUGGUCACCAUCACGUGUGUCCCCUCUUUUUGUGUCCCCGAUGCUCUUGCUUCUGUGGACCGGGGUGUCUAGCAGUCUGGUUCAUUGCUUGCAGUGUCCCUGUAGUAUUGCUUUCCCCUCUUUGUUCUGACCCGACCUGAAGUCAGGUGUGAGUACCCGCUGAACUUAA
rnacentral:misc_RNA from 1 species